rnacentral:rRNA from 1 species
AGAGUUUGAUCCUGGCUCAGCCUGAACGCUGGCGGCGUGGCUAAGACAUGCAAGUCGAACGGGUGUAGCAAUACACCAGUGGCGGACGGGUGAGUAAUGUAUCGCUAACCUACCCCGAAGUCUGGGAUAGCUGCCCGAAAGGGCAGGUAAUACCAGAUGACAUAUUCUUUUCGCAUGAUGAGAAUCUCAAAGCAGCAAUGCGCUUUGGGAGUGGGCGAUAUCGUAUCAGCUAGUUGGUGAGGUAACGGCUCACCAAGGCGACGACGCGUAGCCGGACUGAGAGGUUGGCCGGCCACAUUGGGACUGAGACACUGCCCAGACUCCUACGGGGGGCUGCAGUAACGAAUCUUCCGCAAUGCACGAAAGUGUGACGGAGCGACGCCGCGUGUGGGACGAAGUCCUUCGGGAUGUAAA